UACGUAGGGUGCGAGCGUUGUCCGGAAUUAUUGGGCGUAAAGAGCUCGUAGGCGGUUUGUCGCGUCUGCUGUGAAAACUCGGGGCUUAACCCCGGGCCUGCAGUGGGUACGGGCAGACUAGAGUGCGGUAGGGGAGACUGGAAUUCCUGGUGUAGCGGUGAAAUGCGCAGAUAUCAGGAGGAACACCGGUGGCGAAGGCGGGUCUCUGGGCCGUAACUGACGCUGAGGAGCGAAAGCGUGGGGAGCGAACGG
rnacentral:rRNA from 1 species